rnacentral:rRNA from 1 species
GAUACUGGCGGACGGGUGAGUAACACGUGGGUAACCUGCCUGUAAGACUGGGAUAACUCCGGGAAACCGGGGCUAAUACCGGAUGCUUGUUGAACCGCAUGGUUCAAACAUAAAAGGUGGCUUCGGCUACCACUUACAGAUGGACCCGCGGCGCAUUAGCUAGUUGGUGAGGUAAUGGCUCACCAAGGCAACGAUGCGUAGCCGACCUGAGAGGGUGAUCGGCCACACUGGGACUGAGACACGGCCCAGACUCCUACGGGAGGCAGCAGUAGGGAAUCUUCCGCAAUGGACGAAAGUCUGACGGAGCAACGCCGCGUGAGUGAUGAAGGUUUUCGGAUCGUAAAGCUCUGUUGUUAGGGAAGAACAAGUACCGUUCGAAUAGGGCGUACCUUGACGGUACCUAACCAGAAAGCCACGGGCUAACUACGUGCCAGCAGCCGCGGUAAUACG